AUUGAACGCUGGCGGCAUGCCUUACACAUGCAAGUCGAACGGCAGCACGGGUGCUUGCACCUGGUGGCGAGUGGCGAACGGGUGAGUAAUACAUCGGAACGUACCUUAUCGUGGGGGAUAACGCAGCGAAAGCUGUGCUAAUACCGCAUACGCCCUGAGGGGAAAAGCGGGGGAUCGCAAGACCUCGCGCGAUUAGAGCGGCCGAUGCCUGAUUAGCUUGUUGGUGGGGUAAAAGCCCACCAAGGCGACGAUCAGUAGCUGGUCUGAGAGGACAAUCAGCCACACUGGGACUGAGACACGGCCCAGACUCCUACGGGAGGCAGCAGUGGGGAAUUUUGGACAAUGGGGGCAACCCUGAUCCAGCAAUGCCGCGUGAGUGAAGAAGGCCUUCGGGUUGUAAAGCUCUUUUGUCAGGGAAGAAACAGCAGCUCUAACACAGUCUGCGAAUGACGGUACCUGAAGAAUAAGCACCGGCUAACUACGUGCCAGCAGCCGCAGUAA
rnacentral:rRNA from 1 species